GACACAGGCCAAUUGAGAUGAUUUUAUAAUCUAUACUUAAAGCAGAGGAACAGGUUAUAAACAUUCAAAUCCACGAAUCUAAUAAGCAAAUAAUAUAAGAAAUAAGAAAACUGCCAGAUUCCCCACCUUGAUUCAAUUCAAAAUACAUUUAGCACAAUUUAGAAGCAGACAUUCCAGCAACGUAGAAACAAAGAGUUCUAGAACACAGCUCCUCAGGGAAGUUGCAAUUCACUGCAGAAUAGAAGGCCAGAGUAGAGUAACUGAUGCAAGGCAGAAUACGGUCAGCAGUGUGACAGUUUCUCGAAGGCAAGAAGGAGAAAGACAGCCAUGAAUCCUCACUUUCACAGAAUCAGUGAAGAGAAGACAGGCAACAUAUGCCACUGGGGUAGAGUCCACAUCAUGAUCUAAACAUAUACUUGACUGAGGAGCUGGAAAAACUGAAGAAGGUGACCCAGUGGUUGCUGGAGGCUGCAUGCCUGGCUUUUAACUCCUGCCAACAUGGUAAGCCAGCAGACCUGUGACAGCACAUGCUAACUUCAACAGCACCUGAACCUACACCCACCUUCUAAACAUUAAAUGGCUUGUAGAAAUCUCUCAUGUAGUUAGUUCCAUCCCAGAACCACACACUAAGAAUUCCGAUAAAUGAAAUGAUGACAGCCAGAGUGAGGCCUAGUAAGAGAAGGACGGGGAGUGCUUGGAAAUAACUCUUGGUGAGUAUUGAGUCCCUGACUCCUAUUCAUCUCAGCCACAAUGAAU